UACGUAGGGUGCAAGCGUUAAUCGGAAUUACUGGGCGUAAAGCGUGCGCAGGCGGUUUUGUAAGUCUGUCGUGAAAUCCCCGGGCUCAACCUGGGAACUGCAUUGGUGACUGGCAGGCUUUGAGUGUGGCAGAGGGAGGUAGAAUUCCACGUGUAGCAGUGAAAUGCGUAGAGAUGUGGAGGAAUACCGAUGGCGAAGGCAGCCUCCUGGGCCAACACUGACGCUCAUGCACGAAAGCGUGGGGAGCAAACAGG
rnacentral:rRNA from 1 species